rnacentral:rRNA from 1 species
AUGAUUGCGGAUAAGUCUGAGUGCAGCGGAGAGGGGCUGCCUGGCGCCGCCGCGGAAGCUACAGCCAGCAGAGCGCGCGGGCAGGGAUUGACUCUGGAUGACGAGACUGCCUGCGGCACUCCGGCGGGGUCAGCUAGCGACGCCGAGCGCAUUGAAGCGCCAGCCAAGCUCGAGGCGAAUCCUCACAUCACCAUAGUAAUUGCUGAAACGGGUUCCGAAAGCACUGAAUCACUGAAAGGGGUUGACAAUGCAGACGUCUUCAUAAAAAUCGACACAGACUCUCAUGGCAUGGGGCUGGCAGCCAUGGUGGAAACAGAGAAUGGAGCUUCUUUGUCCACCAAGUCUCAGCCGGGGACUGAACAGCCGCCCCCGCCUGUCCCUAUAGUCUCGCACCACCGUGGCACUUGCCAGGAGCUGAUGAAAGUUACCAGUAGAGUGGAUGCAGAACGUAAGUUGAAAGAGACCGAGCUGUCGAACAUUCAGAAGCACACAAGUGACCGUGACAUUGGCAGAGGUCGUCAGGACACAGGCACCAGGAACAGAACUCAUUUCUCACACAGCUAUUCUGGGGAGUGCUCGACUUCUGGAUCAUUUAGGGACAUAGUUGAUGAAGAGAGGGAAGAGAUUGAGCCCCAUGAGUUACAAAUUCAGACGAGUGAAAUAAGAGAGAAGCCUGGGAAUCUGAUGAGGAAAGAAUGGGAAGAGCAGAAGCUAAGAAGGAUUAAAUAUAUGCUGCAAGCUUCAUUUGAAGGACGCGCCAGCAGGAGAAAGUGGAAAAUGUGGCGAAGUUUGGGAGUGACCACCGCCGUGUGA